rnacentral:rRNA from 1 species
AUUGAACGCUGGCGGCAGGCCUAAUACAUGCAAGUCGAGCGAGCGGCGGACGGGUGAGUAAUGUCUGGGCAACUGCCUGAUGGAGGCGGAUAACUACUGGAAACGGUAGCUAAUACCGCAUACCAUCAGAUGUGCCCAGAUGGGAUUAGCGAGUAGGUGGGGUAAAGGCUCACCUAGGCGACGAUCCCUAGCGGGUCUGAGAGGAUGACCGGCCACACGGGAACUGAGACACGGUCCAGACUCCUACGGGAGGCAGCAGUGGGGAAUAUUGCACAAUGGGCGCAAGCCUGAUGCAGCCAUGCCGCGUGUGUGAAGAAGGCCUUCGGGUUGUAAAGCUCUUUCAGCGGGGAGGCGUUACUCGCAGAAGAAGCACCGGCUAACUCCGUGCCAGCAGCCGCGGUAAUUC